rnacentral:rRNA from 1 species
GAGUUUGAUCAUGGCUCAGGACGAACGCUGGCGGCGUGCUUAACACAUGCAAGUCGAGCGAUGAAGCUUCCUUCGGGAAGUGGAUUAGCGGCGGACGGGUGAGAACACGUGGGCAACCUGCCUCAAAGAGGGGAAUAGCCCUCCGAAAGGAGGAUUACUACCGCAUAAAGUUAGAGUUUCGCAUGAAACUUUAACCAAAGGAGUAAUCCGCUUUGAGAUGGGCCCGCGUCCCAUUAGCUAGUUGGUGGGGUAAUGGCUUACCAAGGCAACGAUGGGUAGCCGACCUGAGAGGGUGAUCGGCCACAUUGGAACUGAGACACGGUCCAGACUCCUACGGGAGGCAGCAGUGGGGAAUAUUGCGCAAUGGGGGAAACCCUGACGCAGCAACGCCGCGUGGGUGAUGAAGGUUUUCGGAUCGUAAAACCCUGUUUUCUGGGACGAUAAUGACGGUACCAGAUGAGGAAGCCACGGCUAACUACGUGCCAGCAGCCGCGGUAAUAC